UCAAAUAUCAAAUAAAGCUAAAAUUGAAUUAAACUUUAUUUAUCACAUAAAUUGGAUCCCAAAACUACGAAAACAGUGUAAUUCAAACCUGUUGUCCAGUAGCUCAGAGAUUGUUAAGGAGGAAUGAAUACGGCUUUAAUUGUUUUACUUCUUACAGCAAAAUGCAUUCUAUUUAUUUUCGGAAUUUUACUUUAUAAAUGGUACAACAAGAAAAAAGAAUAAUGGUCUUAAAAAAUUUGCUUUCUUAAGAAGUUGUGGAAGCUAUCAACUCAAAACGCUUUGAUCCGGUAGUUUAUUACGUAUUAAGUAUUACUAUAUGUGAAUAACAAUAAAUGGUUCAUUAUGCAAUAUC